rnacentral:rRNA from 1 species
UAGGGAAUCUUCGGCAAUGGGGGCAACCCUGACCGAGCAACGCCGCGUGAGUGAAGAAGGUUUUCGGAUCGUAAAGCUCUGUUGUAAGAGAAGAACGUGUGUGAGUGUGGAAAGUUCACACAGUGACGGUAACUUACCAGAAAGGGACGGCUAACUACGUGCCAGCAGCCGCGGUAAUACGUAGGUCCCGAGCGUUGUCCGGAUUUAUUGGGCGUAAAGCGAGCGCAGGCGGUUUAAUAAGUCUGAAGUUAAAGGCAGUGGCUUAACCAUUGUUCGCUUUGGAAACUGUUAAACUUGAGUGCAGAAGGGGAGAGUGGAAUUCCAUGUGUAGCGGUGAAAUGCGUAGAUAUAUGGAGGAACACCGGUGGCGAAAGCGGCUCUCUGGUCUGUAACUGACGCUGAGGCUCGAAAGCGUGGGGAGCAAACAGG